AUUGCUUCUCGGCCUUUUGGCUAAGAUCAAGUGUAUAGACAGUUAGGGGUGUAUCACCUGAAAAUACUAAUUUUCUUUUUUUUUUCUUUAUUUUUUUUUAACUUUUUUUUUUUUUUGACAGGCAGAGUGGACAGUGAGAGAGAGAGACAGAGAGAAAGGUCUUCCUUUGCCGUUGGUUCACCCUCC